CGGCUCUGGAACUCACUUCCUUCAGCUUAAGAAAUAUAGAUUCCCUUAUUUAAAUCACAACGCAAAACCUACUUGUUUAAACUGGCUUACUCGCUUUAAUACAGAUUUUACUUACUGUCAAAUCUUGGGGGGGGGGGGGGGGGGGGUUGUUUGUUUUUGUUGUUGUUGUUGUUUGUGGUUGUAUUUUGCUGGGUUUUUUUUAAUAUUUUAAUUUAUUAGGAUCUAUUUUAAUCUACUGUUUUAUUUAUGUCAUUUUCUCUUUGUACGGUGACCUUGGGUUUUACAAAGGCGCCCUCAAAUAAAAUGUAUUAUUAUUAUUAUUAUUAUUAUUAUUAUUACCAGAGGACAGGAGUCCAGGAACAGAGCCAAGCCCUGACACAUGAGGAGCUUGCGGGGGAGUAUCCCAAAUUUUUUAAUUUUAUUUAAUUUUAUUUAUAUUUAUUUAUUUUUAUUUAAUGUUUUUUGUUUGUUUGUUUGUUUGUUUUUAAAUUCUGGAUUACAUCAGAAAUUUAACCAAGGUGUUGAUAAGGCGCAAAUAAAAUGUAAUAAACCUUUCCAUCGGGGCACGCAGCCUCCAACUCUCCCCAUCCUCACUGUUACAAAAGCACCUGUUUAAAUAAGACUGUUAUUUUCAUUUAACACAUUUUCACACGUGCACACACACAGGGCCCCCAUAACAGUUGUCUUAAAAAGUGUCAUUUUUGGUCAAAUAAGGUGAACUUUUUGUCUUAACCUCAAACUAUCACAAGUAUCCAUAUUUUUCAUGAUCAUAUUUUUUGUGCAUAUGAUUAUUGAUUACUAACAAGUUAUGAAAUAUCAUAAUUUUAUAAUAGUCAGAAAAAUUAUGACUGACAUGAACUUUUAUCAGUUCCUGUAUUACUUCCUAAGUCAUAAAUUAUUUGAUAAAGAGGCCAUAAAACACUGGUUUGACAUGAGGGGUAUAACAGCCCUCCUUGUGGUUAAUAACAGAUAAAUAGCACUCCCUGCUGGAAAACUGGAUCAACAUUUACUUGACAUAAUAUUAAAAUGUCUUCUUAGGUGUUUCAUACAUAUAAUGAAACACCUAUGAAACAGAAAUGUUUCA
ensembl:lncRNA